rnacentral:rRNA from 1 species
CCUACGGGUGGCUGCAGUGGGGAAUAUUGGGCAAUGGAGGAAACUCUGACCCAGCAAUGCCGCGUGAAUGAAGAAGGUCUUCGGAUUGUUAAGUUCUUUAGUCAGGGAAGAAGUCAAUGACGGUACUUGAAGAAUAAGCUCCGGCUAACUACGUGCCAGCGGCAGCGGUAAUAAGUAGGAGGCAUGCGUUGUUCGAAUAACUGGGUGUAAAGGGUUCGUACGCGGUUGUUCAAGUUAGAAGUGUAAUACCCAGGGCUUAACUCGGGUGCUGCCUCUAAAACUGUAUGACUUGAGUGCAGUAGAGGUUAGUGGAAUUCCUAGUGUAGCGGUGGAAUGCGUAGAUAUUAGGAGGAACACCAGAGGCGAAGGCGGCUAACUGGACUGCAACUGACGCUGAGGCACGAAAGUGUGGGGAGCAAACAGGAUUAGAUACCCUGGUAGUC